AGCACGGUAGAGCAGUGGUAGCUCAUUGGACUCAUAAUCCAAAGGUCGCUGGUUCGAGUCCAGCCUGUGCUU
rnacentral:tRNA from 2 species